AAUCAACGCUGGCGGCGUGCCUCAGACAUGCAAGUCGAACGCGAAAGUUCCCUUCGGGGGCGAGUAGAGUGGCGCACGGGUGAGUAACACGUAGGUAAUCUACCUUUGGGUGGGGAAGUAACAGCCGGAAACGGACUGCUAAUACCGCAUAAUGCAGCGGCUCGACAUCGAGACAGUUGUUAAAGCGGGGGAGUCNCAAGACCUCGCGCCUAAAGAGGAGCCUGCGGCGGAUUAGCUUGUUGGUGAGGUAAUGGCUCACCAAGGNGACGAUCAGUAGCUGGUCUGAGAGGAUGAUCAGCCACAUUGGGACUGAGACAUGGCCCAAACUCCUACGGGAGGCAGCAGUGGGGAAUAUUGGACAAUGGGCGAAANCCUGAUCCAGCCAUGCCGCGUGAGUGAUGAAGG
rnacentral:rRNA from 1 species